GCGCUAUCGGAUGAGCCUAGGUCGGAUUAGCUAGUUGGUGGGGUAAAGGCUCACCAAGGCGACGAUCCGUAGCUGGUCUGAGAGGAUGAUCAGCCACACUGGGACUGAGACACGGCCCAG
rnacentral:rRNA from 1 species